UCGAGAAUCUUCGGCAAUGGACGAAAGUCUGACCGAGCGACGCCGCGUGCGGGACGAAGGCCUUCGGGUUGUAAACCGCUGUCAGUUUGGAGGAAAGGUCUGUGAAGAGCAGGCCCUGACCGAUAUUCAGAGGAAGGACGGGCUAAGUUCGUGCCAGCAGCCGCGGUAAGACGAACCGUCCAAACGUUAUUCGGUAUCACUGGGCUUAAAGCGUGCGUAGGCGGCUUGGUAGGUGAGAUGUGAAAGCCCACGGCUCAACCGUGGAAUUGCGUUUCAAACCCCCAAGCUUGAGGAAGACAGGGGUGUCGGGAACUUAUGGUGGAGCGGUGAAAUGCGUUGAUAUCAUAGGGAACACCGGUGGCGAAGGCGCGACACUGGGUCUUUACUGACGCUGAGGCACGAAAGCUAGGGUAGCGAACGGGAUUAGAUACCCCCGUAGUCC
rnacentral:rRNA from 1 species